UACGUAGGGUGCGAGCGUUGUCCGGAAUUAUUGGGCGUAAAGAGCUCGUAGGCGGUGUGUCACGUCGGCCGUGAAAACCUGGGGCUUAACUCUGGGCGUGCGGUCGAUACGGGCAUCACUAGAGUUCGGCAGGGGAGACUGGAAUUCCUGGUGUAGCGGUGAAAUGCGCAGAUAUCAGGAGGAACACCGGUGGCGAAGGCGGGGUCUCCUGG
rnacentral:rRNA from 1 species